AAUCAACGCUGGCGGCGUGCUUAACACAUGCAAGUCGAGCGGUAAGGCCCUUUCGGGGUACGACGAGCGGCGAACGGGUGAGUAACACGUGGGUGACCUGCCCUCAGCUCUGGGAUAAGCCUGGGAAACCGGGUCUAAUACCGGAUAUGACUCCAUGACGCAUGUUGUGGGGUGGAAAGCCUUGUGCGGCUGAGGAUGGGCCCGCGGCCUAUCAGCUUGUUGGGGGGUGAUGGCCUACCAAGGCGACGACGGGUAGCCGGCCUGAGAGGGCGGACCGGCCACACUGGGACGUGAGACACGGCCCACGACUCCUACGGGAGGCAGCAGUGGGGAAGUCUUGCGCAAUGGGCGAAAGCCUGACGCAGCGACG
rnacentral:rRNA from 1 species